UUUGUUGAAAGUACGUGUGUAAAGAAGACGAAUUUGUGAAAAUUUUAACUACGCUGUUAAAAAAAAUUAAUUUUCUUGAUUCAAGGCUAAUAAAAUUAUUAAUUUUUAAUAUAACCUCUUUAUAAAGUGUAUUCAAAGUGUUUUCUAUCAAAUUAUACUGAAAAUUGUGUUACUUAUUGAAGAUAAACAAAUACCAAGUGAAUUCAUAAAUAAAACUGUUUAAAAAUAGAGCAAAAUAUUAAAAAUAACUUUCUAAAGGGAAAAGGAAUGCAUACAUUCAGUGAGACGGGCGCCGGUGUGCCGGCUUUUUUGGCCAAACUUUGGCGUUUAGUUGAAGAUCCUGAAACUAAUAAUCUUAUUUGUUGGAGCAAGGAUGGACGCAGUUUUAUUAUUCAAAAUCAGGCCCAAUUUGCAAGAGAAUUAUUGCCUCUCAACUAUAAACACAAUAAUAUGGCCUCCUUUAUAAGGCAAUUAAAUAUGUAUGGAUUUCAUAAAAUAACUUCCAUUGAUAAUGGUGGUUUAAAAUUUGAUCGGGAUGAAAUGGAAUUUACUCAUCCUUGUUUCAAAAGAAAUUGUCCAUAUUUAUUGGAACAUAUUAAGCGCAAGAUUGCUUCAACCAAAUCGGUUGAUGAAAAGUCUGCCUUAAAGCCAGAAGCUGUAACAAAAGUUUUGCAAGAUGUCAAGGCAAUGCGUGGUCGACAAGAUUCAUUGGAUUCUCGUUUCUCAGUGAUGAAACAGGAAAAUGAGGCUUUAUGGCGUGAAAUUGCCUCUUUAAGGCAGAAACAUGCUAAACAGCAGCAGAUUGUAAAUAAACUUAUACAAUUCUUAAUAACGAUUGUGCAGCCACAGCGUAAUAUGACCAGUGUAAAACGGCACAUGCAGUUAAUGAUAAACGACAUACCGGAUAAGUCAAAACUACGCAAGAAUAGUGAGUCGGAAUCGGAUGGCGGACCGGUUAUUCAUGAGUUGGGCGAAGAAUUGCUUGAUGAAGUAGCUGAUGUUGAACCCGAAUUAAUGGUGCCGAAUAGCCCAUUUGCUCGAGUUGCUACUCCGGCAACUCCCUCUACAGAUCCCGACGUAGCCCAUUCACCACACAAUAUUGAACGACCCCAUUCAAGUGGUAGUAUGAUCUCUCAAAACUAUGAUUUUUCAAAUCAGAGUGCAGAAGAUACUGGCUAUUUAAGUCCAGCCGCUACAGCUGCAACUGCUGCUGCGAAUGACGGUCUUGUACAUACAAUCAAUAAUGAUGGCUCGAAAAUAUUUUAUCACAUUACUGAAGUGCCUGAUGCACAACCUCAAGAAGCAAACAUCAGUCCCGUUAGCUACAAUGAGGAUAACGUGCUGACGACACCGAUGGUGCGUGAAGAGAUGGCACGUAACCAAUUGUUAAAACAGAAAAAUCGCCAGAGACGCAUUAAAAAUGAAUACGAAGUGGAGAAUAACACUAAAGCGUCGGGGACUUCUGGUUCCAAAGUUCAGCGUCUUGCCAGCCAGUCGCAAGCAUCACCAAAACAUCAGCAACAGCAACAACAACAAUUAGCACAGCAGAUUCCUCAACCGAUACAAAUAAAAUCAGAACAAGAUGCUGCUUUAGAUCCCAUGCUUUUCUUGAAUAUCUACCCGGAAAAUCGUGGCCUAACUCCGGACCCAAAUUUAAUUUCACCCAAUUUUAGCGAAGAUUCGCGUCAGUCGAAUUCAAAUACCACGGGUAGUUUUUUGAUCAAUACCCCAACGUCAUCUGCAAACACAGCUUCAUCAGCAGAAAACGCCCUAUUGGCAGGCAAUAGUUCAGACUUGUACAACCCAAAUAGUUUUAUUACUAACGAUAUACCCGCUGAUAUAUUUGAAGACAAUUCCCUAAUAUCUGCUGGGGAGAAUAGUAACAUUGGUGGCAAUGACAAUUUCAAACAGGCUCUACAACAACAAUUUGGUCGUUCUACUGUCAACAGUGGCAAAUUCUCAACAUAUGGUUCGACCACUGGAAAUUGUAGCUCACAGCCUUCUACCUCGGCUGCCGCAGCUGCUGCAGCCAUUUCAUCCACAAAUAGUAGCCACAACAACAAUAAUAACGAGAGUAAUUCUCAAAAAUCUGCAGACUCAUCAAAGGAUGGAAAUGACAGUAACAUGGCUAUAACUAAAUACAAGAACAAUCAAGAUGUCAUGCGGUUGAGUACUGCGAAUGAAGUCAGCGGUCACUUAGACAUUGUUCAGGACGAACUGGAAGGUUUGAAGGAUUUACUGCGAAGUGAUGUUUACUCUUUGGAUCACAAUACUUUGCUUGGUAAUUCAAAUAUCAAUACAUUUGAGAACAAUAAUCAGCGUAUAUUUUUGCCGCCAGCUAUGGAAGAGGACAUUCUAAAUAAGGUCAGCCUUAACAAAAAACCAAUGAAUUAAAAUAAAUUGAAAAUAAAAAAAUAAUCAGUAUUCGGUUAUUCGUAAAAUAAUGAAAGUGAUGCUUCAACUACAAAACAAUUACUUUUUCACAACUAACGGUAGUUUUCCAAAUUUCAAUUAAAUGUCAUUUAAUCUUCUUCUUACCUUUGAAGAUAAUUCAUUGUUUUCUUGUUUACUUACAAUCUAUUAAAGUAUUUGUGAUGAUAACUUCUAUACAUAUUUAUAACUUACCUCUACUGUUAUUUAUAAAUAUUGAUAAAAUACUUUUAGCAACAUAAAAUGUUUUUUUUUUCCUUUCUAUAUACAUACACAUCUUUUUAAUGAUUCGGAUAUUUUGGGUCCAUAUGGUUUACAUUUACCCAAUGAGGGCAAUGAUAAAAAAGGGUCAGAAUUGAUGAC
rnacentral:misc_RNA from 1 species